UACAGAGGUCUCAAGCGUUUGUUCGGAUUCAUUGGGCGUAAAGGGUGCGUAGGCGGCCUGCUAAGUCGAACGUGAAAUCCCUGGGCUCAACCCAGGAACUGCGUCCGAUACUGGUUGGCUUGAAUCCGGGAGAGGGAUGGUGGAAUUCCAGGUGUAGCGGUGAAAUGGCGUAGAUAUCUGGAGGAACACCGGUGGCGAAGGCGGCAUCCUGGACCAACAUUGA
rnacentral:rRNA from 1 species